rnacentral:piRNA from 1 species
UGACGAUAGUCUCUCCUUGAUGUUGAGC